AAACAAAUGACUCAGGCAACAGAUAAAAGGUUCAGUGAGUUUAUUUACAGGGUGGAUCUGGAGACAGGCUCUGAGGGGAGAUGGUGGAGGCUUGUUGAGGACUCUCCCAUGAAGCAUUUGGACAACUGUUCCUGUGACUGGAUCCUCUCAUUUACCUUCAGGAGCCGUUGACUGUAUCUCUCCGCCUCCAUCCUGCCACUCUCCAACUGAUAUGUAAACACUCUACACACUCUCUGAAUAUCUUCUACUUACCUCCUGGA